rnacentral:rRNA from 1 species
AUACGUAGGGGGCAAGCGUUGUCCGGAAUUAUUGGGCGUAAAGCGCGCGCAGGCGGCCUUGUAAGUCUGUUGUUUAAACUCGGGGCUCAACCCCGAGUCGCAAUGGAAACUGCAAAGCUUGAGUGCAGAAGAGGAAAGUGGAAUUCCACGUGUAGCGGUGAAAUGCGUAGAGAUGUGGAGGAACACCAGUGGCGAAGGCGAUUUUCUGGGCUGUAACUGACGCUGAGGCGCGAAAGCUAGGGGAGCGAACA